UAGUAAUCGCAGAUCAGCAUGCUGUGGUGAAUACGUUCCCGGGCCUUGUACACACCGCCCGUCACACCAUGGGAGUCGGUAACACCCAAAGUUGGUAGUCUAACCGCAAGGAGGACGCCGCCUAAGGUGGGAUUGAUGACUGGGGUGAAGUCGUAACAAGGUAUC
rnacentral:rRNA from 1 species